GAUGAACGCUGGCGGCGUGCCUAAUACAUGCAAGUCGAGCGAACAGACGAGGAGCUUGCUCCUCUGACGUUAGCGGCGGACGGGUGAGUAACACGUGGAUAACCUACCUAUAAGACUGGGAUAACUUCGGGAAACCGGAGCUAAUACCGGAUAAUAUAUUGAACCGCAUGGUUCAAUAGUGAAAGACGGUUUUGCUGUCACUUAUAGAUGGAUCCGCGCCGCAUUAGCUAGUUGGUAAGGUAACGGCGUACCAAGGCAACGAUGCGUAGCCGACCUGAGAGGGUGAUCGGCCACACUGGAACUGAGACACGGUCCAGACUCCUACGGGAGGCAGCAGUAGGGAAUCUUCCGCAAUGGGCGAAAGCCUGACGGAGCAACGCCGCGUGAGUGAUGAAGGUCUUCGGAUCGUAAAACUCUGUUAUUAGGGAAGAACAAAUGUGUAAGUAACUAUGCACGUCUUGACGGUACCUAAUCAGAAAGCCACGGCUAACUACGU
rnacentral:rRNA from 1 species